CUCUGUGCCUCGUCCUUCGCUACAUGGACUCAGGAGCACUUCACAGGACUCAGAGGUAAAAAAGGAGAACCUGUUUUCAUAGACCGCGAAGAUGAAGCACACGGGGAGAAAGAAAUUGAAGGACAAAGGCUGGUACUGAUUGAAAAUGGUGCUUGGCUAGUGCAACCUGGAGAGUCGUCGUCUGCGUAAAGCAGGUGCUCUGCAUGUAGAAAGCUCCUGGUGCGGAUGUUGCACUCUGAGAAAGGCUGAGCGCAGCCUCGGGCAGUGAAGAACUUCCUCGGAAGCCAAAGAGGGAAAAAAUAAAACCUGUGCAGAGCAACUCUCUUUGAAGAGGAAAUGCACUCAAGCCCUGGCCCACAUGGAAAAGUGCUCCUGGAACUGGAAACUCUAUGGACUCCCAGCCCCCAGGCUGCUUCUCUUCAUUCAGUCACCCUACAGAAACAUCUCCGACGGCUGUUGCAUGAUGGAGUGGGACGAAGGUCACUUCCUGCAAAUGUUAGGGUUCUUAAGAAUCCCACAGGCACUGGAGUAAUAAUUGAACUCAACAGGCAAUCAAUCACAUCUGAAACACACGAAAUAUAUCUACAGACUGGAGAGAUGAGGUGCACUGUGUUGCCAAGCUGAUCUAGGACUCCUGGCCUCAAGGGAUCCUCCUGCUUCCGUCUCCCAGAUCGCUGGGAUUACAGGCAUGAGCCACUGUGCCCAGACUUAAUUCUGGCGUAUUCUUAAGUCAGUGUCUCCUAAUGAAAAUGUUUUCCAUGACCUCAGUGCAUGCUCCAAAUGAAGAAGCUGUUAAUAGGUACAAUACUACUAACACAUGUACAUACAGAUUUCAACAGCAUUUAAAUUCACAUUUUUCUUUUUGUCUCUUGUUUUGUGUGUAUAGUUCUUUUUCUGUCUGUCUUUGAAAUUCUGGAUAAAGAUUCCUCUGCAGAUUUCUGUAGAUUUAUUCAGCCACCAGCACCCAGGCCCGGUCAGAAUUAGGGUACAGAACUGUUUCAUCAGUUUCAUAAAAAGGUGUGGUGGAAAGGAGCAGUGUCCAGACAUUCCUUCGUCCUUCCAGUCACCAUUAGCAGCAGGUGUUAGGUCUUCACACCGUGAUUUUAACACUUCAA
rnacentral:lncRNA from 1 species